UGCUUAACAAAAACAACGUGAUAUACAGAAUUGACUGUAGAGACUGUCCCAGCGCAUACAUCGGAAUGACUACCAACAAGUUGCGGACCCGCAUGUAUGGCCAUCAAACCCACAUCAACACUCUUGAAAACAAACUGGCAGAAGGUUACCAAUACACCGAUCCCGAAAUACAGCUGUUACAAGAGAAAUCGGCACUGAUGAACCACUGUAUCAAUCACCAACACCGUUUCAACAUCCAACAACCAUCCCUCGUCGAUUCAACCUACAAGAGACAAGCUCUGCAAGUGUUGGAAAUGUGCCAUAUUGCGACGACUUCCAACACGGUCAACCAUCGGACAGACACCGAUAAUUUAAGCUGUGCGUACGCAAAUCUGCUCUCAACGAUCAAAACCCAGAGAGGAGCGAGAAAUGCGUCGUCAACUACUAACCAAAAUCGACAAAAUACAAGAAUUCUAACCACCCCACUAACACAAACAAAUCCGACCAACCAAACAGCACCAACUAUAAACACCCCACAGUAACCCCAAUCUGGCGAACAAGAACAGAAGUGUUCCCAAAGUGCCAAGUGUUGCGACUCGAACGGUUAAACGUACCACCCACCCACCAUCUCAACCAGGGUGCUGGUUGGUCUAAUGUUACAAGUGCGGUGCCCGAACCCAAUGCAAACGACAUUCCACCGUGUGAUCAACACGAUCUUCACAAGUUGAUUCAUAUCGAGCCCUGAUGAAGAUCCCAACCAUAGGAUCGAAACGUAGGCAAUGAUUUAGAAUAAUCAACGCUUUUUCUGUGACUGAAAGCCGAAAACCUACCAAAUCU